rnacentral:rRNA from 1 species
UACAGAGGUCUCAAGCGUUGUUCGGAUUCAUUGGGCGUAAAGGGUGCGUAGGCGGCGCGGUAAGUCGGGUGUGAAAUCGUUGGAGCUUAACUCCGAAACUGCAUUCGAUACUGCCGUGCUUGAGGACUGGAGAGGAGACGUGGAAUUCCUGGUGAGCGGUAGAAAUGCGCAGAUAUCAGGAGGAACACCGGUGGCGAAGGCGGGUCUCUGGGCCGAAAUUGGACGCUGGAGGAGCGAAAGCGUGGGGAGCAAACAGGG